rnacentral:rRNA from 1 species
AACGUAGGAGACAAACGUUAUCCGGAGUUACUGGGCGUAAAGGGCGUGUAGGUGGUUUCGUAAGUCUGGCGUGAAAUUUCUCGGCUUAACCGAGGCAGGUCGUCGGAUACUGCGGGACUAGAGGACGGUAGAGGCGUGUGGAAUUCCGGGUGUAGUGGUGAAAUGCGUAGAGAUCCGGAGGAACACCAGUGGCGAAGGCGACACGCUGGGCCGUACCUGACACUGAUGCGCGACAGCAUGGGGAGCAAACAGG